ensembl:lncRNA
AAAAUAAGCUAUUCCUUACUAAACAUAGAUACAAAAGUCUAUCCAUCUACAUGGUCAUUCUCCUAUUUGUUCUUUCAAAUGUCUUCAGUGAAUGCAAUCAUAAUGGAAAAGGUAGGCAAGAUAAUGACCUUGGAAAUUGUUGCAUAUAAGAAAUGAAUGAGAGAACCAACUUUGAGAAGUGUUUAUUUAUUCCUUCUACUAUGCUUUCAACAAUUACUAAGUUCUGAAUAUUGGGCUUGAUGACAGGCUGAUUAAGAAAAUGGCAGCACUAUUAACAGAGAAAUCUGAGAAAUGAAGACCAAUUCCAGGUAACACAGCAAGAUUAAAUUUAAGAGGCCAUUUAAAGAAGCACAGCAUUUGUCUACUGAACACUAAAGUAUCACUCAGGAAGAUAUUAAAAUUUUUCACUCUUGGAACAUUCCUUGGAUCUCUGCUGCUGUGCUGUGAGAAAAACAAGCUACAAGUAUAGGACACAUGUUGAAGCUCCAAUUGAUAGCUGCAAUUGAGCUCCUUGCCAAUGACCAACAUCCUACGUCAACCAUGUGAAGUGGUCCUCUUCACUGUCCCAGCAUAACUGAGCACACAGGUGAUCAAGGCAGAGCCAAUUCCACAGGAAGUAAGAGAGCAUUGGUGUUAGCCCAUUCAACACCAAGACUAGUGAGAAAUUGCUGUUGUUUUAAGCCACUAAAUCUUGGAGGGGUUUGUUAAGAAAGUAACUGAAAAAGUGUCUUCCGUGAAUAAGGGUCAAGGAACCAUAGGAAUAGAUGAGUGUAGGGGGCCCUGCCCCCCCGCUGGAACUCUUGAGUGCCUUCUACGGACAUGCCCGGGCUUGCUGCAAAUCUACCCGGCAACAAGGAAGUAGCCCCAGUACACUCCUCUUGCUCCUCCCCUCUCGCCCUACGGUAUAUAUGUUGUAACAGCUUCCGCAAUAAACGAGACUUGAUCAGAAA